rnacentral:lncRNA from 1 species
CAGGCUCCACAGACAGCCUGGCAUCUUAAGUACAUUUGAGAUAAAACUAACCAUAAUGGUCAUUUGCUAUUUUUGUAACCAUGUUAUCCGUGUUGUCUGAAAUAUGACAUAAAUGAAAGUGGUUUUUCUUCACUGGGAAAAGAAAAGCUAAAGAGACCCAACUAUUUAAAUAUUCGUUGUUGUAGUCAACAUAUUAAAAUAAAAGGCAAAGUCUGAGAAUGUAAACUUAUGAUAAAGCCGUGCCUCGUGGCUCACUAUAGCAGUGUGUUUUGUUCCUGCACAUUAAAAUAUUUUCUUAGUAAAAAUUAUUCACAAUGCCAUAACACUCUGUGUUCCUGUGUUUCUUUGUCAAGCAAGAAGUAUAUGUGAUACAAACUUAGCUUUCUAUUGCUAUGGAAAAAGAAGUUUUACUGAAAAUGGGGUGUAUGUUGUAUGAAAUACAGCUUGAAGGGUGAGUAAAAUUUGGCCCAAAUUUCAGUAUUUGAAAAAUAAUUCCAAUGGAGCUGUUAUUUAUUAAUGAACUGGCAACAAAAGCAUUGUCAAAAUCACUUUCACUAAAUCUUUAACUCUUAGAAUAGCAUAUUUAGAAUUCAUCUUAUACAUACAUAAAAAAUUGCAAAAAAAAAAUUCAAGCAUUCAAGGUUUUAACCACUUACUUGCCAUACAUUGAAAAGGAGGAUGUUGUUCAAAUGUAGAAAGCUGCUCCUGAAAAGCUUUACGAUUUGCAAAAAUGAGACAAUCUAUUAAUCAGAUUAAACACCAACGUGUAGAAGGAAGAAAUUAUCUUAGAAAUGACAUGUGGAUAAGAAACUCAGAUAAAUGUGUUUUUAAAUUAAUUGUUAGUUGUACCUUUACCAUAUUGCCAGGUUCUACACGAAUCCCAAUAAGCAAGCAUGACAACAAAAGUAUUUCUAAUAUACUCUUUUUAGUGAUUUGAGGAUGUUACAAAGUAUUUCAAUCAUAUUUGCCCAACACGCUUUUCCCUAACUCCUUCAACAUCCACUUCUCAAUACUAAAUUCCUUCUCAAUGUCAUGCCAUCUUUUUUAGUGACCAUCAAGUCCAAUUUGUGCUGUCUGUUCAUAUCUUCAAUUAGUGUGAGGCCAUCCCCUGGAAGAUAUAAAUGUGAGUUCAAGGCCAGUCAACAGAGCACGUUCCAGAACAUCCAGAGUUACGUAGUGAGACUUUGUUUUGAAAAAACAAAAAGAAAAAAAAAAAGAAAGAAAGAAAACUGACUCUUAGCAGCCAUCAGCUGUCAGUAGGUCCUCAGCUAAGACUGGGGCCUCAUGAACCCUUCUUCAAAUAGCAAUCGUAUAAUAGAAAAAUUUUAAAUGCUGUCUAUACUAACACCAAAGUUGCUGACAGAACGUAAAGUUUGCUUCAUAGAGCCCAACACAUGACUUCACCCUUUUGUGGAAGAAGGGAAACCAAAGGGAAGAAGCGCUCAAAAGCUUGUCAUGGAAAGAUACUUUUUACUUCACAUAGGAGACUGAUUUUAAAAUUAUGUUUAAUUCAACAUAUAUGCAUAUGGACAUAUACUAUAUAUGUUUGCAUGGGUACAUGUAAGG